UGCCAGCCGCCGCGGUAAUACGUAGGGGGUUAGCGUUGUUCGGAAUUACUGGGCGUAAAGCGUACGUAGGCGGAUCAGAAAGUAGGGGGUGAAAUCCCAGGGCUCAACCCUGGAACUGCCUCCUAAACUCCUGGUCUUGAGUUCGAGAGAGGUGAGUGGAAUUCCAAGUGUAGAGGUGAAAUUCGUAGAUACUCGGAAGAACACCAGUGGCGAAGGCGGCUCACUGGCUCGAUACUGACGCUGUGGCGCGAAAGCGUGGGGAGCAAACAGGAUUAGAUA
rnacentral:rRNA from 1 species